rnacentral:rRNA from 1 species
GGGAGGCAGCAGUGGGGAAUAUUGGACAAUGGACCAAAAGUCUGAUCCAGCAAUUCUGUGUGCUUGAUGAAGGCCUUCGGGUUGUAAAGAGCUUUAAGUAGGGAAGAAGAAAGUGACGGUACCUACAGAAUAAGCGACGGCUAAAUACGUGCCAGCAGCCGCGGUAAUACGUAUGUCGCAAGCGUUAUCCGGAAUUAUUGGGCAUAAAGGGCGUCUGGGCGGUUUAGAAAGUCUGAUGUGAAAAUGCGGGGCUCAACCCCGUAUUGCGUUGGAAACUACUAGACUAGAGUAUGGGAGAGGUAAGCGGAACUACAAGUGUAGAGGUGAAAUUCGUAGAUAUUUGUAGGAAUGCCAAUUGGGAAGCCAGCUUACUGGACAAAUACUGACGCUGAAGCGCGAAAGCUAGGGGAGCAAACAGGAUUAGAUACCCUGGUAGUCCUAGCUGUAAACGAUGAUCACUGGGUGUGGGGGGUCGAACCUCCGUGCCGCAGUAAUGCGAUAAGUGU